AAAGGGGGAAGGAUAUUAAAAAUCAAAUAAGUAACGAAUAGGUAACGAAUAGGGAAUAGGGAAUAGGUAACGAAUAGGUAACGAAUAGGGAAUAGGGAAUAGGUAACGAAUAGGCAACGAAUAGGGAAUAGGGAAUAGGUAACGAAUAGGUAACGAAUAGGGAAUAGGGAAUAGGUAACGAAUAGGCAACGAAUAGGGAAUAGGGAAUAGGUAACAAAUAGGGAAUAGGGAAUAGGUAACCAACUUGACGCCCAUU
rnacentral:lncRNA from 1 species